CGUCGUCAGCUCGUGUCGUGAGAUGUUGGGUUAAGUCCCGCAACGAGCGCAACCCCUAUUGUUAGUUGCCAUCAUUCAGUUGGGCACUCUAGCGAGACUGCCGGUAAUAAACCGGAGGAAGGUGGGGAUGACGUCAAAUCAUCAUGCCCCUUAUGACCUGGGCUACACACGUGCUACAAUGGUUGGUACAACGAGUUGCGAGUCGGUGACGGCGAGCUAAUCUCUUAAAGCCAAUCUCAGUUCGGAUUGUAGGCUGCAACUCGCCUACAUGAAGUCGGAAUCGCUAGUAAUCGCGGAUCAGCACGCCGCGGUGAAUACGUUCCCGGGCCUU
rnacentral:rRNA from 1 species